GCCUAGUUAGCUUAGUUGGUAGCGCGUCUGCCUUGUAAGCGUCAGGCCGCGGAUUCGAUUCCCGCCCAGGCG
rnacentral:tRNA from 1 species